rnacentral:rRNA from 1 species
UACGAAGGGGACUAGCGUUGUUCGGAAUCACUGGGCGUAAAGCGCACGUAGGCGGAUGUGUCAGUCAGGGGUGAAAUCUCGGGGCUCAACCUCGGAACUGCCUUUGAUACAGCACGUCUCGAGUCCGGAAGAGGUGGGUGGAAUUCCUAGUGUAGAGGUGAAAUUCGUAGAUAUUAGGAAGAACACCGGUGGCGAAGGCGGCCCACUGGUCCGGUACUGACGCUGAGGUGCGAAAGCGUGGGGAGCAAACAGG